GAAAUGCGAUAAGUAGUGUGAAUUGCAGAAUUCAGUGAAUCAUCGAAUCUUUGAACGCACAUUGCGCCCUUUGGUAUUCCUUAGGGCAUGCCUGUUCGAGCGUCAUCUAAACCUUCAAGCCCUGCUUGGUGUUGGGUGCCUGUCCCGCCUCCGCGCGCGGACUCACCUCAAAUCCAUUGGCGGCCCCCGCGUCGGCCACUAGCGCAGCAGAAACGCGAACUCGUGAGCCCGUCCGGGCGGCUCCCAGAAGCUACACCCACCCAGUUUGACCUCGGAUCAGGUAGGGAUACCCGCUGAACUUAAGCA
rnacentral:misc_RNA from 1 species